UCUGGUAUUGAUUGGUGCUUGCAUCAUGAUUUACAUUUGAGUGAGUGGCGAACUGGUGAGUAACACGUGGGAAACCUGCCCAGAAGCGGGGGAUAACACCUGGAAACAGAUGCUAAUACCGCAUAACAACUUGGACCGCAUGGUCCGAGUUUGAAAGAUGGCUUCGGCUAUCACUUUUGGAUGGUCCCGCGGCGUAUUAGCUAGAUGGUGAGGUAACGGCUCACCAUGGCAAUGAUACGUAGCCGACCUGAGAGGGUAAUCGGCCACAUUGGGACUGAGACACGGCCCAUACUCCUACGGGAGGCAGCAGUAGGGAAUCUUCCACAAUGGACGAAAGUCUGAUGGAGCAACGCCGCGUGAGUGAAGAAGGGUUUCGGCUCGUAUAACUCUGUUGUUAAAGAAGAACAUAUCUGAGAGUAACUGUUCAGGUAUUGACGGUAUUUAACAAGAAAGCCACGGCUAACUACGUGCCAGCAGCCGCGGUAAUACGUAGGUGGCAAGCGUUGUCCGGAUUUAUUGGGCGUAAAGCGAGCGCAGGCGGUUUUUUAAGUCUGAUGUGAAAGCCUUCGGCUCACCCGAAGAAGUGCAUCGGAAACUGGGAAACUUGAUGUGCAGAACAGGACAGUGGAACUCCAUGUGUAGCGGUGAAAUGCGUAUAUAUAUGGAAGAACACCAGUGGCGAAGGCGGCUGUCUGGGCUGUAACUGACGCUGAGGCUCGAAAGUAUGGGUAUCAAACAGGAAUAGAUAC
rnacentral:rRNA from 2 species